rnacentral:rRNA from 1 species
GACGAACGCUGGCGGCGUGCCUAAUACAUGCAAGUCGAACGCUUCUUUCCUCCCGAGUGCUUGCACUCAAUUGGAAAGAGGAGUGGCGGACGGGUGAGUAACACGUGGGUAACCUACCCAUCAGAGGGGGAUAACACUUGGAAACAGGUGCUAAUACCGCAUAACAGUUUAUGCCGCAUGGCAUAAGAGUGAAAGGCGCUUUCGGGUGUCGCCGAUGGAUGGACCCGCGGUGCAUUAGCUAGUUGGUGAGGUAACGGCUCACCAAGGCCACGAUGCAUAGCCGACCUGAGAGGGUGAUCGGCCACACUGGGACUGAGACACGGCCCAGACUCCUACGGGAGGCAGCAGUAGGGAAUCUUCGGCAAUGGACGAAAGUCUGACCGAGCAACGCCGCGUGAGUGAAGAAGGUUUUCGGAUCGUAAAACUCUGUUGUUAGAGAAGAACAAGGACGUUAGUAACUGAACGUCCCCUGACGGUAUCUAACCAGAAAGCCACGGCUAACUACGUG